CGAUCCUCCUGGCUCAGCCUCCCGAAGUGCUAGGAUAACAGGCGUGAGCCACCACACCUGGCCUGAUCAGACCUUUUCAUCCCUUUCUCUAAACCUCCACCAGCUGCCCGUCAGGAGCCUACACCAAGCCAGGCAGUGCAGUGCCGUGGAAGGUUCUGGGAGACCUGCAGACCUGGGCUCAACUCCCGGCUGCAUACCCUGGAAAGUUUGUGCCCCUCUUCCAACUAGCAAGCAGACAGCGUCCCCUGAGCUCUCUGCGAUGUGAUUUUUAUAAGGAGAAGCACGGUGCCGUUGAAUCUCACCUCUACCCCGUACUGCUCGCAUGCAACCUCCUUAGCCUCGGGGAGCCUCAGUCUCCUCCUCUGUAAAAUGGGCAUGCAUUUGUUUUCUAUGGCAGCUGUAGCCACAAACUUAGUGGCUUAAAACUACAUGAAUUUAUUAUCCUACAGUCCUGGAGGUCAGAAGUCCAAAAUGGGUCUCACUGGGCUGAGACCCAAGCAUCAGCGGGGCUGAGGUCCUCCUGCCGGCUCUGGGGGAGAAUCCGUCUUCUUGCCUUUUCCAGCUUCUAGAACCCCCAUUCCAUCUUCAAAGCCAGCACUGUAUGUUGCAUCUUCAAAUCGGACACUGACUCUCCUGCCUCCCUCUUGUACUUAUUCUGUCUGUCCUAAGGGAUGGCGACAGCUUUAUCCCAUGGGAAUCAGAGGAAAAUAAGAUAAAUCAUGUCACGGCACACCUGGCGUGGAGUAAGCCCCUGCGUGUGUUAGUGAAUGUGUCACUCUUGUUAUCAGAACGUGGAUGAUUUCUCCUGGAGAGGGAAGACAAGCUACAUGAACUCAGAGCCUCAGUUUCCUCAUCCGGGAGAUGGGAACAUCUUGCCGAGUGCAGGGAACUGCUGCCUGACCCGGGUUUAACUCGGCGCACCAGGUGCUUGAGUGGAGGCGAUUUGUAUUUUUCCCCCAUUCGUUAAUUGCUCAGCUUCAGAGAGAACCUCGGAGAAUCUCCCAUUUGUGCUAUCUUCCGGUGUCAUCAUGGCUUCUGGACAGGUGGCGCUCUGGCUGUGACCAGGGCUCUGCCCAGAGCUUGUGACCCUGUGACCUUUGCAUUCUUGCCGUGACUCAAUGCGUGCCUGGCCCCCACUUGCCUGUCGUAAGGAGCGGGUGUCAGGCCCAGGUGUGGGUCCCCCAGCCCUUUCCACAUGGCGACUCAAAGCUCUGCUCCGGCCUCCCAGCUUAGCAGCUCGGGAGACGGGGGGCGCCCUCAUCCCCUAGGUCCUGCCAAGUCCUGGGGAGAUGCCCAUCGGCCGCGACCACCAUGGCCUGGGCCGCUUGCUCCCCACUUCGACCCGUGGCUGGGGGGCUGCAGUGCUCUUGUUGGCCAGGCCAGGGUCGGGUAACAGGAGCUGGGCACAGGAAGACAGCCCCGGCCUCUUGCAGGGCCCCUGUCCCUGCUGCCUGCCUGGCCACCACUGAAGUGGAGCCCCGUUUAGUACUUCCUGACACCACCCCCAGCCCCUCGUCCCAUGCACUCCCUUACUCAUGAAUCGCCACAUGCGUGUGAGUCUGGUCUCCCCGUCGAGUCUGCAGGCCACUUCCUGGGUGGGCUGAGGAGUUAGAUAGACUCCUAAUGGUUAUACCCUUCUGCUGUUAGCUGGGGAGGCAGAUCACCUGCUCUAUGCCUCUGAGCCUCAGUUUCUUCAUCUGCAAAAUGGGCAUGAUAACUAGUAAGACAUGAUCAUAGGGCGGUUGUGAGGAUUGAGUGAGCUAAUCUAUAGCAGUGACCAGCCCAGGGCCGGGCGCGUAGCAGGUGCUGAAAAGGGUGCACCUGUUUCCAUCUUGUUGCCUUCCCUGACCCCAGGCAGACGCCAGAGAGGCGGCUCAGAGCAGCGCUGCUGAGCUGUAACCCCGGCGUCCCACACGGGCUCAGUCCUAUGCAACCUCUGAGCCCGUGCUUUCUGAGCGGCAAACAGCGAGCGCAGUCCCUGCCUGAGAUGAUGUCUGUCCAGCGCCUGGCACCGAGGAACGAGCUGCCACUGAGCCUUUAUUGACGGGAGACAGUCUCUCGACACCACACUUACACAGCCUCGGAGCUGCCCGAGCGCGGGGGUCUUCAUCAGCGGCGACAGAAACGACUCGCCGGGGCUCACGCAAAGCAGGUUCCCUGCAAAGACAAAAGCACGCGAGUGAGCUGGCUUCUCGUCAGACAAGCCUGAGUUCGAAUCCCCUGUCUUAGGAAAGAGGAAAAGAGCGUGUGCAUUGUUUAAAGCCACGUUUUGUAGAAAGAUGGCGAGGAGGAGUCAGCACUCCUGCCCCGGCCCUCCCCUUCCCCGCUGUGUGUCCUUGGGAAGGUCGCUUCUGUCUCUGAGCCUCGGAAUAAAAUGGAGAUGACCAGCAAACCCGUCUCCUGGGGCA